UUGAAGAGUUUGAUCAUGGCUCAGAUUGAACGCUGGCGGCAGGCCUAACACAUGCAAGUCGAGCGGUAGCACAGAGAGCUUGCUCUCGGGUGACGAGCGGCGGACGGGUGAGUAAUGUCUGGGAAACUGCCUGAUGGAGGGGGAUAACUACUGGAAACGGUAGCUAAUACCGCAUAAUGUCGCAAGACCAAAGUGGGGGACCUUCGGGCCUCAUGCCAUCAGAUGUGCCCAGAUGGGAUUAGCUAGUAGGUGGGGUAACGGCUCACCUAGGCGACGAUCCCUAGCUGGUCUGAGAGGAUGACCAGCCACACUGGAACUGAGACACGGUCCAGACUCCUACGGGAGGCAGCAGUGGGGAAUAUUGCACAAUGGGCGCAAGCCUGAUGCAGCCAUGCCGCGUGUGUGAAGAAGGCCUUCGGGUUGUAAAGCACUUUCAGCGGGGAGGAAGGCGUUAAGGUUAAUAACCUUAGCGAUUGACGUUACCCGCAGAAGAAGCACCGGCUAACUCCGUGCCAGCAGCCGCGGUAAUACGGAGGGUGCAAGCGUUAAUCGGAAUUACUGGGCGUAAAGCGCACGCAGGCGGUCUGUCAAGUCGGAUGUGAAAUCCCCGGGCUCAACCUGGGAACUGCAUUCGAAACUGGCAGGCUAGAGUCUUGUAGAGGGGGGUAGAAUUCCAGGUGUAGCGGUGAAAUGCGUAGAGAUCUGGAGGAAUACCGGUGGCGAAGGCGGCCCCCUGGACAAAGACUGACGCUCAGGUGCGAAAGCGUGGGGAGCAAACAGGAUUAGAUACCCUGGUAGUCCACGCCGUAAACGAUGUCGAUUUGGAGGUUGUGCCCUUGAGGCGUGGCUUCCGGAGCUAACGCGUUAAAUCGACCGCCUGGGGAGUACGGCCGCAAGGUUAAAACUCAAAUGAAUUGACGGGGGCCCGCACAAGCGGUGGAGCAUGUGGUUUAAUUCGAUGCAACGCGAAGAACCUUACCUGGUCUUGACAUCCACAGAACUUAGCAGAGAUGCUUUGGUGCCUUCGGGAACUGUGAGACAGGUGCUGCAUGGCUGUCGUCAGCUCGUGUUGUGAAAUGUUGGGUUAAGUCCCGCAACGAGCGCAACCCUUAUCCUUUGUUGCCAGCGGUCCGGCCGGGAACUCAAAGGAGACUGCCAGUGAUAAACUGGAGGAAGGUGGGGAUGACGUCAAGUCAUCAUGGCCCUUACGACCAGGGCUACACACGUGCUACAAUGGCAUAUACAAAGAGAAGCGACCUCGCGAGAGCAAGCGGACCUCAUAAAGUAUGUCGUAGUCCGGAUUGGAGUCUGCAACUCGACUCCAUGAAGUCGGAAUCGCUAGUAAUCGUAGAUCAGAAUGCUACGGUGAAUACGUUCCCGGGCCUUGUACACACCGCCCGUCACACCAUGGGAGUGGGUUGCAAAAGAAGUAGGUAGCUUAACCUUCGGGAGGGCGCUUACCACUUUGUGAUUCAUGACUGGGGUGAAGUCGUAACAAGGUAACCGUAGGGGAACCUGCGGUUGGAUCACCUCCUU
rnacentral:rRNA from 1 species